rnacentral:misc_RNA from 1 species
UACAGAGGGUGUAAGCGUUAAUCGGAACUACUGGGCGUAAAGUGCGCGUAGGUGGUAGGUUAAGUUGGAUGUGAAAGCCCCGGGCUCAACCUGGGAACUGCAUCCAAAACUGGCUGGCUAGAGUACGGUAGCGGGUGGUGGAAUUUCCUGUGUAGCGGUGAAAUGCGUAGAUAUAGGAAGGAACACCAGUGACGAAGGCGACCACCUGGACUGAUACUGACACUGAGGUGCGAAAGCGUGGGGAGCAAACAGG